rnacentral:tRNA from 1 species
ACCAGGCUGGCUCAGUUGUAGAGCAUGAGACUCUUGAUCUCAAGGUGGUGAGUUUGAGCCCUGUGUUGGGUG